rnacentral:rRNA from 1 species
AACUGCAGAAGGCGUGGCAAACGGCUCAGUAACACGUAGCUAACCUACCCUGUAGACGAAGAUAACCCCGGGAAACUGGGACUAAUAAUCGAUAGAUCAUGGCAUCUGGAACGAGCUGUGAUCCAAAGGAAUAGGCGAGUAUGUUCACCUAUUCGCUUCAGGAUGGGGCUGCGGCCGAUCAGGUUGUUGGUGGGGUAAUGGCCCACCAAGCCCAUAACCGGUACGGGCUUUGAGAGAAGGAGCCCGGAGAUGGACACUGAGAAAAGGGUCUAAGUCCUACGGGGCGCAGCAGGCGCGAAAACUUCGCAAUGUGCGCAAGCACGACGAGGUUACUCUGAGUGUCACCCGCUGAGGGUGACUUUUCCUAGACGUAAAUAAUAUAGGGAAUAAGGGGAGGGCAAGUCUGGUGUCAGCCGCCGCGGUAAUACCAGCUCCCCAAGUGGUCGGGAUGUUUAUUGGGCCUAAAGCAUCCGUAGCCGGUCUUGUAGGUCUCCUGUUAAAUCCACCAGCUCAACUGUUGGACCGCAGAAGAUACCGCAGGACUAGGAGGCGGGGAGAGGUGGACGGUACUUUAUGGGUAGGGGGUAAAAUCCUUUGAUCCAUAGAAGACCACCAGUGGCGAAAGGCGGUCCACCAGAACGCGCUCGACGGUGAGGGAUGAAAGCUGGGGAGCGAACCGGGAUUAGAUACCCGGGUAGUCCAG